rnacentral:rRNA from 1 species
UACGAAGGGGCUAGCGUUGCUCGGAAUCACUGGGCGUAAAGCGCACGUAGGCGGAUUGCUAAGUCAGGGGUGAAAUCCUGGAGCUCAACUCCAGAACUGCCUUGAUACUGGCGACCUUGAGUCCGGGAGAGGUGAGUGGAACUGCGAGUGUAGAGGUGAAAUUCGUAGAUAUUCGCAAGAACACCAGUGGCGAAGGCGGCUCACUGGCCCGGUACUGACGCUGAGGUGCGAAAGCGUGGGAGCAACAGG